rnacentral:rRNA from 1 species
GGCACCACACGCGAAGCCUGACCAUUUCCAUUUCUGCCCCCGGUUCUUCCCCCCUCGCGCCCACCACGACGGCGGGCCGACGUCGUUCCCCUCCGCCGCCGCCGGCGCGCUGACCGCCCGCCGUGUCCCCGGCCGUCCUCCUCCCCGACGCCCUCGCCUCGCUCCUCCGGUUCGCCCACCAACCUACCAACCCGGGCCCCGAUCCGCGCGGAGGGAGGGGGGGAGGAGAUGGCGGUGGUGCUCGCGUGGCUCAACGCCAGGGUCGUCGACCCCCUGCUGCAGGUGAUCCAGAGGGGCGCGGAGCCGAAGCAGCUCGCCUUCUCCGCCGCGCUCGGCGUCACCAUCGGGGUCUUCCCCAUCUGCGGGACCACUGUUAUUAUCGGUGGACUUGCUGUGGCCAUGUUAGGAGCUCGUUGCAAUGCCGUUACUGUCAUGGUUCUCAAUUUAGCUGCCACUCCUCUUGAGCUAAGCUUGAUCAUUCCUUUCUUGCGUUUGGGAGAAAUAGUCACGGGCGGUGAGCACUUCCCCUUGACAUCUGAUGCAUUCAAGAUGGUCCUCACUGGCCACGCCUCAAAGGACGUGCUACUCAGCAUUUUUCAUGCGAUUCUUGGCUGGAUUGUUGCUGCACCGUUUGUGAUGGCUGGGCUGUACACCUUGUCCGUCCCUUGUUUCAAGUACCUGGUCGGCAGGUUUGGCGUCAUCCCUUCGAGCCCCAGGACGCCGAUGAAAGCGGUUUUGCUUUGCCCGAAUGAAUCUGAAUCCGAAUCCGAAAAUGGGGCAGUACCGUUGCUCGUCCACGCCGACUGAUCUUGUGGCGCGUGUCAUCUGGACAUCAUCAGCCAUUCUCACCUGCAUUUGUGUCUCAUGGCACCAUGUUAUGUAAACUGUGGGCAUGUUUGUGUUGUCUGACUGUAUUGUGUUAACUGUUACGUACUCCCGAUAGGGGCAGCUCGCGUAUUCUCGCGGAGCUGUAGGCUGAUAUGUAUAUAUAGUAUAUAUAAAGGUAACAAUUGUUGUGUAUGAUGCUAUCUCUAAUAAG